rnacentral:rRNA from 1 species
GACGAACGCUGGCGGCGUGCUUAACACAUGCCAGUCGAACGGUAAGGCCCUUUCGGGGGUCCACGAGUGGCGAACGGGUGAGUAACACGUGGGUGAUCUGCCCUGCACUUUGGGAUAAGCCUGGGAAACUGGGUCUAAUACCGGAUAGGACUACGCGAUGCAUGUCGUGUGGUGGAAAGCUUUUGCGGUGUGGGAUGGGCCCGCGGCCUAUCAGCUUGUUGGUGGGGUGAUGGCCUACCAAGGCGACGACGGGUAGCCGGCCUGAGAGGGUGUCCGGCCACACUGGGACUGAGAUACGGCCCAGACUCCUACGGGAGGCAGCAGUGGGGAAUAUUGCACAAUGGGCGCAAGCCUGAUGCAGCGACGCCGCGUGGGGGAUGACGGCCUUCGGGUUGUAAACCCCUUUCAGCACAGACGAAGCGUAAGUGACGGUAUGUGCAGAAGAAGCACCGGCCAACUACGUG